CCUACGGGUGGCAGCAGUGGGGAAUAUUGCACAAUGGGGGAAACCCUGAUGCAGCGACGCCGCGUGAGUGAAGAAGUAUUUCGGUAUGUAAAGCUCUAUCAGCAGGGAAGAAAAUGACGGUACCUGAUUAAUAAGCCCCGGCUAACUACGUGCCAGCAGCCGCGGUAAUACGGAGGGGGCAAGCGUUAUCCGGAUUUACUGGGUGUAAAGGGAGCGUAGACGGCAGCGCAAGUCUGAAGUGAAGUGCCGGGGCUUAACCCCGGAACUGCUUUGGAAACUGGGCAGCUAGAGUGCAGGAGAGGUAAGUGGAAUUCCAAGUGUAGCGGUGAAAUGCGUAGAGAUGAGGAGGAACACCAGUGGCGAAGGCGGCUUACUGGAAUGGAACUGACGUUGAGGCGCGAAAGCGUGGGGAGCAAACAGGAUUAGAUACCCUAGUAGUC
rnacentral:rRNA from 1 species